AGAGUUUGAUCCUGGCUCAGAACGAACGUUGGCGGCGUGGAUUAGGCAUGCAAGUCGAACGAAUCCCAGCUUUGUAGCAAUACCGAGCUGGGGGAAGUGGCGAAAGGGGCAGUAAUGCGUGGGUAACCUACCUCGGGGACGUGGAUAGCCAUUCUAACGAGUGGGUAAUACGCGGCGAUUUGAUUGAGGGGCAUCCCUUGGUCAGGAAAUGAAUUUCGCCUCGCGAGGGGCUCACGUGAUAUUAGCUAGUUGGUAGGGUAACGGCCUACCAAGGCAAAGAUGUCUAGCGGGUGUGAGAGCACGACCCGCGCCACUGGCACUGAGACACUGGCCAGACACCUACGGGUGGCUGCAGUCGAGGAUCUUUGGCAAUGAGCGCAAGCUUGACCAAGCGACGCCGCGUGUGCGAUGAAGGCCUUCGGGUUGUAAAGCACUGUCGAGGGGGACG
rnacentral:rRNA from 1 species